AUGAGUGACAUUAACCAUCUUACACCGCAGCCCUCCCUAACGCCUUCAGCCACUGAACCCCCUAAGAAACACUCACCCCUUCCCUUUCCUCUCUCCUCGCCGCUCAUCAAAAAGCAAGCCAUCCAACUCCCCUCUUUUCAGGAUGCUGGACUUGUGUCAGAAAGACACCAUCUAAGACCGUUUUCUUCAACUCAUGACAGUUCCAGAUGUUUUGAGUUGAUCCGUUCCACUAAAGAAUCCAUCUCUGUUUCAAUAAAGAAUUCUCAGACAUAUUUGGACGAACGUAAGAACAUUGAGAAUAGAGCUUCGACUCUUCCCAGGACAAGGUCCAAAUCACACACCUCUCCAGCAGUUUCUCAAAAGCCUGGCAUCUGUGUUCUUUCUCCUGCCUCGAAACCUAAUCCUCCUUCUACUGCCCCCGCCGUGAGGCCGAAGCCAAACAGCUGGCUUACUGCCCCAGACCCACAGAGCCAUUCUUCUCCUUCACCCACUGUGACCGGACCAAAACCAAGCAAAUCUCCAACUCUGUCCGUCCCUAUAAUCCGACCUAAUCUCUCUCCAACCCUGCUGUGUAAAAUGAUGCUGCCGGGGAGCCAUGGAGCAAAACGCAAGACGACCCCGGUUGUAGCAGAGAAAAGGAGAGUUCAAUCCAUUGUGAACUCUAACACCAGAGACCUGCCAGUGCCUACCAAACGAUGGUCCCCAGUGGGAACAACACAAGACGUUCUGGACCAAGACACGCUGGUGAACUUUACUCGAUUGGAAGGUGGUAGGGGAGCAUCCAGGAAGGCCUUCAACAAGGAGUCUGGUCAUCACACUGUCUGUGAUAUGACACCAAAUAACUUUUGGCCAUUGCAAUGCAAAAUAGGUUUCACCAAAGAAAAGGAUAAUGGAUUAUUUUUUCUUGAGAAACCAGAAAUUACGAAGGAAAAUGUUGAUAAAACAGACCUUCAAACGGGAGAAAGGAAAUACACUCAAUCAGACUCUGAAGACGAUGUUGGGAAAGAAUGUGAUCCACUGAAUAUUGGACCCCACAGUUCAUCAAACCUCAGACUCAAAAAGAAGUAUGAAAACUAUCUAGAGAACACAACGUGUACAUUGACCAAAAGUGUUCCUGAAACGUGGAAUAAUUUCACAACCGACUCUAAAAGUAAGAAGUCACAGGUGGAAGAAUGUCCUGUCAAAUGUUUGGCUUCCAAAUCUGAAUUCACUGAAUUCACUGGAAGCAUGUCUGGAGAUUUGUCAGCCUUAAGGAGACAUGGGCUUUGGUCUGUUAUACGAAAUGAACCAACAGAUGCACGGAUUACAAAGCGAGGGGAAAGUUCCCUGGAACAGGACCCUCGAGGAUGGGACUCUAAACGAAGUGAAUUAAGUGGAUCCAAGGAACAACCGUACCUGGUGCUAAACCAAACCCAAGAGGCCUCCCAAAGUCGGCCUUUAACAAGAUCAAGACCUGUGGCUCCUCAAUACAACUCAACACACCCUAUCGACCCACAGCUACUAUAUAAAUUCAAUAAGUUGGAUCUCACAAAGUCACUGGCGCAGUGUGCAAACAACCGAAGAACAACCCCUAGUUACCUGGAACCCCAUCAAGUCAAAUGUGUAAGACCACAUGAUCACGGAGCACCCACACAGCUUCCAGCGUAUUCCUCCGAAAAGUGCGUUGUAAGCUGGCUAUCAUCCACAGAGGGUGACCCCUUCAAUAGAACCAGAGCUGGCACCGGCUCAAACGAGCUCUGCAGAAUGCCAUCACAACCCCAGGGGCCCGGCACACACACGGCAGCGGAGGGCCCCAUGGCACACACACAGGCCGCCGCCGCCCGGCCGAGCAGAGCACCUAUCACAGAGGAGCCAGAGGAGCCGUAUUACGUCACCAUGUAUAGCCCGGGCACAGUCUAUGUGUCAAUGGGUGAGUACACAGAAUGCCGGCCAGUUGCUCUGGUAGUCCAGCAGCAGACAUUCCCUUUUUUAGUGGUCCAUUCAAUGUAUUUCCCCCAAAGGUUCUGCAAGAGAGCGAUACGUACAGGAAAUACAGGAAGGUAA
rnacentral:lncRNA from 1 species